AGUGAACGCUGGCGGUAGGCCUAACACAUGCAAGUCGAACGGCAGCACAGUAAGAGCUUGCUCUUACGGGUGGCGAGUGGCGGACGGGUGAGGAAUACAUCGGAAUCUACUUUUUCGUGGGGGAUAACGUAGGGAAACUUACGCUAAUACCGCAUACGACCUACGGGUGAAAGCAGGGGAUCUUCGGGCCUUGCGCGAUUGAAUGAGCCGAUGUCGGAUUAGCUAGUUGGCGGGGUAAAGGCCCACCAAGGCGACGAUCCGUAGCUGGUCUGAGAGGAUGAUCAGCCACACUGGAACUGAGACACGGUCCAGACUCCUACGGGAGGCAGCAGUGGGGAAUAUUGGACAAUGGGCGCAAGCCUGAUCCAGCCAUACCGCGUGGGUGAAGAAGACCUUCGGGUUGUAAAGCCCUUUUGUUGGGAAAGAAAAGCAGCAGGUUAAUACCCCGCUGUUCUGACGGUACCCAAAGAAUAAGCACCGGCUAACUUCGUG
rnacentral:rRNA from 1 species